rnacentral:rRNA from 1 species
UACGAAGGGGGCUAGCGUUGCUCGGAAUCACUGGGCGUAAAGGGUGCGUAGGCGGGUCUUUAAGUCAGGGGUGAAAUGCCAAGGCUCAACCUUGGAACUGCCUUUGAUACUGGAGAUCUUGAGUCCGGGAGAGGUGAGUGGAAUUGCGAGUGUAGAGGUGAAAUUCGUAGAUAUUCGCAAGAACACCAGUGGCGAAGGCGGCUCACUGGCCCGGAACUGACGCUGAGACGCGAAAGCGUGGGGAGCAAACAGG